rnacentral:lncRNA from 1 species
GGCCAAAGAAAAUCAAGCACUUUGCUUCAAGCAAAACUGAGAUCUCCAUGCAGAAAGAGACAGGUCUGGGUUUGAAUCCUGGCUCCACCACUCAACAGCCAUGCACCUGGACCAAGGAGCUCAGCGGAGUGGUCACUCUCGGGAUGUCUGCAGCCAUCAUCCACAGUCCUGGGGCAAUCACUUAGGCUUCAAGCCUUGGACCUCAGUCUUCUCCAGCCAGGCUCUCAGGCUGGAGUGCAGUGACACGAUCUCGGAUCAAGUGAUUCUCCUGCCUCAGCCUCCCAAGUAGCUGGGAUUACCGGCGUGCGCCACCACACCUGGCUAAUUUUGCGUGUUUUUAGUAGAGACAGAGAUUUCACCAUGUUGAUCAGGCUGGUCUUGAAUUCCUGACCUCAGGUGAUCCAGCCGUCUUGGCCUCCCAAAGUGCUGAGAUUACAGGCAUGAGCCACGUGCCCGGUCCUUUUCCCAUUUUUAAAUUGGAUUUAUUUGUAAGAGCUCUUUGUAUAUUAAGAAAAUUAUCCCUUUGUCACAGCAGUUGCUACUCUUUCUCAGUUUGCUGUUUGUUUUCUGCUGGUUUAUUAAAUAUAGAAAUUUGAAA